rnacentral:rRNA from 1 species
AUUAUACCGCGAAACUGCGAAUGGCUCAUUAAAUCAGUUAUCGUUUAUUUGAUAGCACCUUACUACUUGGAUAACCGUGGUAAUUCUAGAGCUAAUACAUGCUGAAAAUCCCAACUUCGGAAGGGAUGUAUUUAUUAGAUUAAAAACCAAUGCCCUCCGGGGCUCACUGGUGAUUCAUAAUAACUUCUCGAAUCGCAUGGCCUUGCGCCGGCGAUGGUUCAUUCAAAUUUCUGCCCUAUCAACUUUCGACUGCUGGGUCUUGGCCAGCAAUGGUGACAACGGGUAACGGAGGGUUAGGGCUCGACCCCGGAGAAGGAGCCUGAGAGACGGCUACUACAUCCAAGGAAGGCAGCAGGCGCGCAAAUUACCCAAUCCCGACACGGGGAGGUAGUGACAAUAAAUACUGAUACAGGGCUCUUUUGGGUCUUGUAAUUGGAAUGAGUACAAUUUAAAUCCCUUAACGAGGAACAAUUGGAGGGCAAGUCUGGUGCCAGCAGCCGCGGUAAUUCCAGCUCCAAUAGCGUAUAUUAAAGUUGUUGCAGUUAAAAAGCUCGUAGUUGAACCUUGGGCCUGGCCGGCCGGUCCGCCUCACCGCGUGCACUGGUUCGGCCGGGCCUUUUCCUCUGGCGAGCCCCAUGCCCUUCACUGGGCGUGUGGGGGAACCAGGACUUUUACUUUGAAAAAAUUAGAGUGUUCAAAGCAGGCCUAUGCUCGAAUACAUUAGCAUGGAAUAAUAGAAUAGGACGUGCGGUUCUAUUUUGUUGGUUUCUAGGACCGCCGUAAUGAUUAAUAGGGACAGUCGGGGGCAUCAGUAUUCAAUUGUCAGAGGUGAAAUUCUUGGAUUUAUUGAAGACU